rnacentral:rRNA from 1 species
UGCAAAUCAAUAUAAAUUGAAUUAAAUUUUAUUUAUUAAAUUAUUAAAUUUUAUUAAAUUAUUUUAUUAAAAAUAAUUAUAGAAGUUAUUUUGUUUUAGUAAUUUUUAAUGAAAAAAUAAAUUUUAUAAUAGUUAAUUUGUAUUGUGAAAGAUAAUUGAAAUAUUUUGAAAAAUUUUUAUUUUUAAAGAAAAAUUUAUUUUUUGUACCUUGUGUAUCAGGGUUUAUUAAAUAAUUAAUAAAUAUUUAUUUAUUUCGAUUUUAUAAGAGUUAAUAAUUUAUGAAAGUUAAUGUAUUAAGAUUAUUUUUAAUAGAUUAUUAGAAAUGAAAUGUUAUUCGUUUAUAGAGGUAUCUAGUUUUUUUAGAAAUAAAUUUAAUUUACAAAUUUUUAAUUUUUUAUUUUUUUUGAAUAAUAAAAAAAUUUAAAAACUUGAAUAUUCAAUGGGAUAAGCUUUUGAAUAAAUUUUUAUAAAUUAUUAAAUAAUUUUUUAAAAUUAUAUGCUUAGGAUUAGCAAUUAUUAAUGAAUUUGUUUUAAAUUAUUUAUUAUAAUUAUUGUAUUAUUUAUUAGAUUUUAAUUUUAUAUAAAAAAUUUUUAUUUAAUUAAAUUUGAAAAUUUAUAAUGAUAAAAUUAGUAUAUAAGUUUUGUUUUAAUAAUUAUUUUAAGAUAAGUUUAUAUAAAGAACUCGGCAAAUAUUAUACUCGCCUGUUUAACAAAAACAUGUCUUUUUGAGUUAUUUUUAAAGUCUAACCUGCCCAAUGAACAAUUUUUUAAUGGCCGCAGUAUUCUGACUGUGCAAAGGUAGCAUAAUCAUUAGUCUUUUAAUUGAAGGCUUGUAUGAAUGGUUGGACGAAGUAUAAACUGUUUCAUAUAAAUUUAUUAUAGAAUUUUAUAUUUUAGUUAAAAAGCUACAAUUUUUUUAAAAGACGAGAAGACCCUAUAAAUCUUUAUAUUUUAUAUUAUUUGAAUUUUUUAGAUUUUGUUUAUUUUAAUAAUAUAAAAUAUUUUGUUGGGGUGAUAGUAAAAUUUGUAAAACUUUUAUUUUUAAUAAAACAUUGAUUUAUGAUUUAUUGAUCCAUUAAUAAUGAUUAUAAAAAUAAGUUACUUUAGGGAUAACAGCGUAAUUUUUUUGGAGAGUUCUUAUCGAUAAAAAAGUUUGCGACCUCGAUGUUGGAUUAAGAAAUAUAUUUAGGUGUAGUAGCUUAAAAUUUAAGUCUGUUCGACUUU